rnacentral:rRNA from 1 species
CUGCUUCAGUUAUUUUUAGAUUUUAUUUUUCAGUCAAAAAGCUGAAAUGUAAUUAAAAGACGAGAAGACCCUAUAGAUCUUGAUAAUUAAUUAGUUAAAUUUAUUUAGGAAAUUUAAAAUUUAAUUAAGUAAAUUAUUUUAUUGGGGUGAUAAUAAGAUUUAAUAAACUCUUAUAUUUUAAAUACAUAAAUUAAUGAAUUAUUGAUCCAUUAAUAGUGAUUAUUAGAUUAAGUUACCUUAGGGAUAACAG